rnacentral:lncRNA from 1 species
AAUGACUCCCAUAGACCAUAACCUCAUAACCCAGCAAUAGAACAAUCAGUGGCAGAGCUUCACUAAUUUGUUAUGAGAGAAAAACACUACUAAAUGGCUGAUAGAUUUGGUUGAUAAGCUCAAACGAACAGGCUCCAAAUGUGAACAAUAAAAAUAAGAGAAUUAAAUGGUGAAAAUUAAUAUUUACUUAAGAAGGGUGGCGGC